rnacentral:lncRNA from 1 species
GUUUCACCGUAGUCGCGCAUUGACACGCCUCCUUCCCUGUGCUCUCCGCGUCCGGGAAAGGCAGCGACUUCAGGAAGCAACGUUUGAGACUCGGCCCAUUGACCGAGUUUUGGGGCGUCGACUUCUCUCCGCUCAGACCAAUCGGAGUUCACGGUGAAACUUUGUAAACAAGUCUUACACGCUGAGAUGAAGCUCGUCUUUUCUAUUUACUCCAAGAAAGACGCGACGGUGCUGCGGCCAAACGACUCAAAAGCAAAACAGGAAUGGGAACCUGUGGGAUGUUCUCAGGCCUUCAGAGGUGAUCUCAGCCAAACAGAGGAAACAUCUGCUCUACUGCUGUUCUAAAUGCUCCAGAUCUACACAAACACACACACGCAUACAUAUACACACACACACACACACCACAUACAGUCUUAGAGGUUGUGCCUGCCAGAGGAAGAGUGUUAUUACAAAAAGCACACAUGCCUUUAUACUUACAUACACAUUAACACACACACAGAUGCUGCCUGUCUUCCUCUCAUCCUCAUCCUGUCACAACCACAGUGCAGUUUGUCCUCCAGCUCACCAUCCCUGCAUUCAGGACCUGCACUAACAGCUGCUCUGGCAGCUAAAUCUGAGUCCCAUGUUCUGUUUGUCUUUAUAUUGGUCUGUUUGUUCUCGUGUUUCCCUCUAUCUUGACAAGAAGUCCUUAAUCAGCAGAAUUGAGCCAGUGUUUUUUAACAAUUGCUCAAACAGGUUACCAAAUAUGUUGUUAUGUUGUAGCAAAACCUAAUUAUCACAAUGAGAGUCCUUAAUUUCUGUUAUUAGCGAGUAUUUAAGUAUUAAAGUAUUCCGCUUUGCUGCAAAACUUGCAUAUACACGUUUUCAUCAGAGGAGAUGGUGUUUUUCUGUGUCUGCCUCAGUCUUGUGAUUUUUCCUGAGCAUGCUCAUGAUGUUUUAACUAUUUUGUACAAAAAGAGCUGAAAGAAAUGCAAGACAUUCUUUAAAGUAAAAAUAUGUUGGUUGUUGCAACGUGCCUAAACAAAAGGCAUUUGAGCUGUGUCACUCUAGAUAUCCACUUCUAUUUUUAAUGCUUAUAUACCAGUAAAUUCAACCUAUAUUUUUCAGUUGAAGUCCAUUUUUCUGUGCAAAUAACACUUCCAAAAUGCGGGUGACUAACAACUCAACGCAGUGCUCGAACACCUCCUAUGUAGACACUGAGUGAGCACUGGAGCUGCUGAUGCUGCUCUGCUAACAUUGUGCACAUGUUACACCUACUAUGUAGACACAAAGAAAGUAACUGUCUAAAUGGCCUAUAUAUGCACCCCCAUCGACAGGUUGAUUGUUCCUUACUGCUAUACAAUACUGUUCCAAAAUAAUUCAUUUGAGGCGUUACUGAUCUGACUGGGUAAUGUGAACAGUCAUCUCCUGUGUCAAAGUAACAUCCAUUCACUCUUCUCCCUAACAGAUUU